GAACCGGCGCAGGCCGGGAGCGAGCUUCCGGGAGGUGGGGGUUCUGACACCUGUUCCAGCGCUUCCUGGCCAUCAUCGGUUGUUGACAAUCUGCUUAAGGUCCCAGAGGUUUGGGUUUCUUGGCCACAACCUGGGAGUCAAGAGCGUCCCCACGUCCCAGGAGUAGGCCGUUCACACGGAGUGGGAAUACGGCUCCGGGCAGAGAGGAAGGUCUCCAUAAACCCCUCCUUCCGGGCUUCCUCUCGCUCAGGUCAGGGCAGAAAGGCUCGGGGCAGGCUCGUGGGUUCGGUCAUUCCCUCCGUGUUCAGACCUCCACACUGAACUUCCCUGGGUCAAAACAGUGUGGCAACAGACUCCCAGAGUGGGACUCCCUAAUGAGGACAACUGUCACUGAAACAUCGCGGGGCUUCCGUUUGAUUCAUAAGAAAAUUUCUUUUAUCGUUUAUUGUGAUUUGUAGUUUUAUAAGGUUUGUCACUUGGUUAGUCUACCUAACUUCAGAUCCAUAGUGGCUUUGAUGUUGUCAUUCACCAGCUUCUACAAAGGUGGGGGGGGGGGGGGCUGGGAUCCUAUGAGCAAAGGUUCAAAACACAGGUGGGCAGGGGGUUGGGGGAAGGGGAGGGUACAGAAACAUCAGUGCCCUCUCUUCCCCACACGCCUGGAAAUGUGAGUACAAGUUGCAGUUCUGGAAGGUAAUAGGGCCGAUUUAUACAGGAACCUGAGGGAGCCCCAAAGCCCCCUGGGAAAAGGAAAUAGCCACCACCUAGAGGGUUAAGAGCUUGAGACAAAAGCACGGGAGGUUUUUAGUCCAACUAAAUCACAACUCACUUUUCAACCGUCCACAAAAUGUUGUCCAUGAACUGCCAGUGUCCUCGCGGAUGAUUCCAAUCCGGGCCUUGGUAUCAUCAUAAAAUAGAACUGUCUUGAAUUUUUAAGUCCAAGGAAGAAAUCGAGGGGACAACAGUCCCGCAGCUGGAGACCCUACUGCCUCAUUAGAGAGACCGCUCCCGGGGAGGGGUGUUGGUCUCCCUGGGGUCUCAGGGCUCCUUCCGCCCCGCCUGACAGUCCAAGAGGCAGGGAAGCUGGCCAAUAUAUUCCUCAAAAGGGAGCCAUCCUGGAAUGUUCACCGCGUUUCAAAAGUAUUGCUUAUCAGUAAUCAAACCUGUCGAUGGGCUUGCCUGGUGGUCCACGUGGUCCACGCCACCGAGAGGAGCCAGGUGGCCCUGCCUCCAGGCGGGGGGCUCAGUGUUGCCUUUAGGACUGACAGUGGACUCGUAAUGCGAGUAGAGGGGGCCUGCCCGAGGGAAGGAGCCCCCCCACUGCUCGCGGAGCUCCUCUCUCCGCGGCACGGGGCACAAUAAAACCCGUUCGUUCGCGUAUAUUCAGUACAUGCUGCUCCAUCGCCGUCCUCUGAGCUUCCAGAAGUUUCCCUCCACGUCGGCACCCCCCUUCCUCCAGCCCACCUUCGUCGGCCACCCCACAUCUCCACCGAUGUAUCAGAGGCCUUCCCCACCGCACCCAGCAUGGCCAAAACCCUGCUCCGGGACGCACACGGGGCACCUUUUCAAAAGGUAAAACUCAGAAUGAGGUCUGCAGCCAAAGGGGGCCUCCGAGAGACAGUAAGCCGAUUCUUCGAGACCGCAAGCGAAACGGGUGUGACAUGAGGACGUCAAGGGGCAGGGCUUCAAGACGGCCAAGCGCGGGCAUCCUACUCCCUGGCACAAGGAGGGGAGGGAGGCUGGAACGGGGGGUUUUCUGUGUGUUCCCAGCGUGGUCCACCAGAGGGCGGCCGCGGGCUGCCGGAGGGCCGCCCACGGAGCCGACCAGACGGGGCGGGCCCUCGGGACCCUGUGUUUCUUCCCAAGUGCCCAGGGAGGCCCGCUUACAAAAUGAAGACCUGUAUUUACUUUUCUGCAUUAAAUCCCAACUUUUAAAUUUUGUUAACUAAAUCUGUGAGUAGAUUUUCCAUCAUUUGUCACAGGACAUACUCGGAUUUGUUUCUUGCUUGUCUCAAACAUUAUUUUUUAUUAGAGAGUGAGCAGGGUAGGGGCAGAGGGAGACAGAGAGAGAGAGAGAGAAUCUCAAACCAACUCUAGGCUCAGCGAGCAGCUCGAUGUGGGGCUCAGUCCCAUGACCCCAGGAUCGUGACCUGGGCCAAAAUCAGGAGUUAGACGCUCUUGGACUGAGCCACCCAGGCGCCCCAAACAUUUUUAUUAGAUUACUGUCUGUUUUAUAACAACCACUGAUUCUUCUACGCAAUUCCUCAAAGCUGCUGGUCUGAUUAAACUUAUGGAGUCACUCACCUGCUUUAUAAGAAGGAAAUACUGAAGAUUUUGGCUGCCCUAAAAUAUGUAUGUAUUUUAUGUAUGUAAACAAAUGUGAUUUUACAAUUAGCAUAUUCCUGAUACUGGCUCUUAGAAUUGGUUUCUUGAAAUAUGUAUGGCUUAUGGACAUUUAUAAAGCUUUCAUUGUAUUACUGUAUGAUUCUAUCAGAAUUUCUUAUUUAUGAAGCCAUUAGCUACAUAUGACUUAGAUUAGCAUAUAACUUUAAAAUGGUUAUUAGUAGAAAUAAAAUGUUCUCCUCAAGCUUUUUUAAUUUCUUAUGUAUUAUAUAUGAGUAUAAAAAACAAAAUAGCAGAGAAGCCCCUUUUUUUUACCAAAAUGCAUGUUUUUACUUUACUAGUAAAAUUUAAUCAGCAGAUUUCUGUGUUGGCCAGAUUUGCUAGGCUAAAUAUUAAAAGUUCCCAAGCAAAUGCAUUUUUCUCUUAUACUUUUCUGUUAUCCGAAGAAAACAUAAGGGCCUCCUAUGUUAUAAAUGUAAUUUUCGCUCAUGUUUUCAAAUAUGGUUUCGACUGAGUUGGAGGUUUGUGAGAUAGUUUGGAUUAUUACAUAAUUCACACAGGCGACAGCUAGUCCGACAGCUCACACAUUAUCAGCUGAACUCAGUUUAGGUUUCUGUCUUCCAGCUCCUAAAACAAACAAAGCCCUCCCACUGGUGAAGACAAAACUCUCACCACCUUGUCUCCCGCAUUUCAGCAGGACAGAACGGUAAAUCAAUCGGAUUCCAUGCUGGUGCAGUUCCUAACGGAUGGCUCUGUCUUCUCCACAGAUAGGGCCAAGGUCCUGGGGUAGACUAGCGCCUGAUAAGUGGCAAACACAGAGAGAAGCGGAGGAGUGUGUGACGGCCGGUGUGAGGAGGGGGUUGGUGCCAACUAUGAACCCAGCCACAAUCCCAGGAGAGACCUCCUUAAGACGCAACACUGCCAGAGAGUUCCAAGUGGGUCAAGGCUGGGCCACGGCCAGGCAGAGGGCGUUUCCUUCCCGCACCCCGGCCCCCCACAGGCGCCGUGGGCUUGCGCAUGGUAAAGGGGGUGAUCUUCAGCACCUGGGGCCUCAGGGGAGGAGGCACCAGGCAGACUAUGGGGAGGACUGUCAGAAGGUGACAUUAUGGACGGUGACCAGAAAGGAACAAGGUAAGGAUGCAAGGCUUUAGCCGACUGUCUGGUCCAGGUAAAAGAGGAAAGAGACUGCGGCGUCUGGGUGGCUCAGUCGGUUAAGCGUCCGACUUCGGCUCAGGUCAUGACCUUGCGGUCUGUGAGUUGGAGUCCUUGGUGGGGCUCUGUGCUGACAGCUCAGAGCCUGGAGCCUGCUUCGGCUUCUGUGUCUCCCUCUCUCUCUGCCCCUCCCCUCCCCUGCUGGUGCUCUGUCUCUCUCUCUCUCAAAAAUAAAUAAACAUUAAAAAAAUUUUUUUUAAAAAAGAGGAAAGAGAUUGCAGGAAACAUGCAAUGGUUUCGGACUCAGAUGCUCUGCUGUCACUCCGUACACCCAUCUCCCCGUCGUGCCAUGUCACCGAGGCCAGCAUUUACCCCUGGAUUGGGGCAGUGUUGGGUAAGUGAGACAGUAACGAACCAACGCAGAACCUUCAGCAAAGAACUGGGUCAGUCAAAUGAUUCUGAUGAUUAUGAAUCACGUGAAUGAAAGAAAAGUGGAAUAACGGAGGUCGGUCAUUUUUGUUACUACUUUUUAGAUCAACUUCGUUGCAGUCCCUUGCAUACAGUACACAGAAUUUAAAUGUUCCGCUUGAUGAGUUUUGACAAAUGUAUGUUCCCUUGUUUCCCUAACCAAGAUACAGAAUAUUUCUGUCACUCCAGAAAGUUCCCUUAUGCUCCUCUGACAUCAAUUCAGUAAGACCUAAAUAAAUGGGAGAAACUUCAAUUCUCUCCAAACUGAUAUAAUAGCUUUAAUACAAUCCCAAUAAAAAAAUGCAGCUGGCGCUUUUGGGGGGGUGGGGAGAAACUGGCAAUCUGAUUCUAAAUUCACACGGAAAUGCCAAGGGCCAGAGACAGCCAAAUCAAUCUUUAAAAAAAAAGAAGAAGAAAAGUCUAAGGACUUACUACUCUCUAAUUUUAAGAUUUCAUUAAAAAGCUGUAGUAGUCAAGACAGUAUGUCAAUAUGUACUUGUAGAAGGAUAGACAGAAAGACCAAUGGAACAGAACAGAGUACCGGGAAAUAGUUCCAAACAUCUACAGUCAAUUGAUUUUGACAAAGGGCCAAGGCUAGUCAAUAGGGGAAGAACAAUCUUUUCAACAAAUGGUUCUCAAACCACUAGAUAUCCCUGAAGGGGAGAAAAACUCUUAACUCUUACACUUCAAAUGGAUCACAGACUUAAUGUAAAAAUAAAAAUUACAUAACUUCUAAAAGAAAACAUAGAAGAAAAUCUUCAAUACUUCAGGAUAGGCAAAGAUUUCUUAAAAAUACAAAAGAAAAAAAAAAAAGGGGGCGCCUGGGUAGCUCAGUCGGUUAAGUGUCCAACUCCUGCUUUUGGCUCAGGUCACUCACGAUCUCAUGGUUUGUGAGCUCGCGUCGGGCUCCAGGGUGACAGUGCAGAGCCUGCUUGGGAUUCUCUCUCUCCCUCUCUCUCUCUCUCUCUGCCCCACCACUCACCAAAAUAAAAUAAACUUAAAAAGUACAAAAACCCUAUGAACCAUUAAUGAUAAAAUGACAGCUUUACCUCAUUAAAAGUAAAAAUCUGUGUCCUUCAAAAAACAGUUAAGACAAUGAAAAGAGAGACCACAGACUGAAAGAAAAUAUUUGUAAUACAUCUGUCUGGCAGAGGACUCGUACCCAGAAAAUAGAAAGAAACUUACCAUUCAGGAAGACAAAAUGCAAAAAAAAAAAGAAAAAGAAAAG